AGCUUUUCGAAUCCCUGUACAGAUUUCGUCAGACACCAACCCAUUAGGACUGAUCAAACUUCCAAGAUAAGUGAAGUU
rfam:Schistosoma margrebowiei strain Zambia genome assembly, scaffold: SMRZ_contig0007341